GACGAACACUGGCGGCGUGCUUAACACAUGCAAGUCGAACGGAAAGGCCCUGCUUUUGUGGGGUGCUCGAGUGGCGAACGGGUGGGUAACACGUGAGUAACCUGCCCUUGACUUUGGGAUAACUUCAGGAAACUGGGGCUAAUACCGGAUAGGAGCUCCUGCUGCAUGGUGGGGGUUGGAAAGUUUCGGCGGUUGGGGAUGGACUCGCGGCUUAUCAGCUUGUUGGUGGGGUAGUGGCUUACCAAGGCUUUGACGGGUAGCCGGCCUGAGAGGGUGACCGGCCACAUUGGGACUGAGAUACGGCCCAGACUCCUACGGGAGGCAGCAGUGGGGAAUAUUGCACAAUGGGCGGAAGCCUGAUGCAGCAACGCCGCGUGCGGGAUGACGGCCUUCGGGUUGUAAACCGCUUUCGCCUGUGACGAAGCGUGAGUGACGGUAAUGGGUAAAGAAGCACCGGCUAACUACGUG
rnacentral:rRNA from 1 species